rnacentral:misc_RNA from 1 species
GGGAUGUCUAUUGAUUGUCACGGUAUUCUUUUUCUGACUCAGCUUUCUUAUUAAAUUUAAAAGAUAUUGGGCGUGAAAAUGGUGGCUCCUUUUUGGAGAAAGGAAACAAACAAAACUUGACUAGGAAAAUAAAGUGUAGAACAACGAUUUUGCCUUUCUGUGAACUGCUUAAUACUUUAAUUAAAGCUAGUUCAUGCAGUUUUUUUUGGAUUCAUGGUGUUGUAAUCUGGGCGUUGACAGAAUUAUACUGGUGAUCGCUUAA